UUGUUAAGAAUAACUCUAACAUAUCUCAAGCAGUGGUUGAAGUGUGCGCUCAUGACUUGGUAUUUAAAUCUCCCUUCUGCAGUAUAAAUAAAUGCAACUAAAAGUUUUUAUAGACACUUAGACAAUGAUUAUUUUGAGUAAGAUGUCCUUUGUGCAGACAUUCUGAUUUAGCGAAACAAAUAAGUAAAUGAAGGGAAAUUUUUUUAAAUUCAAAGAUGAUUUUGAAAGAGUGCGACGGACUUCCUUGAUGCAAAAACCAGGAGUACGAGUCUUAUUUACAAGAGUUUGGACUACUCCCGUAUUAAAAGUGUCAAACACUGACUUGGACUUUAGCAUUUUACAAAAUACAGCCAAAAUAUCAGUGCUGACAAUUUAAAGGGAUUCAGUAGUGAACACCUAUUCAUGCCCUACCAUUAUCUCCGCAAGAUAACACCCGAAUAAUGGUAAAAAGUGUAAAACAUGCCUUCCUGUCAACUCACUCUGGAUCAGCAGACGAUUAAUCCGAGAUAGCCGAUGUAUCACGAUUGCCUGUCAACUAUGAUAUUUUUUUAGAGAGUACAGCCCUACAUGAAGCGAUCAUUUAGUGUAUUGUAACCUUUAAUUACUGGAUAAACUUCCUGCUUACAAAAGCAAACAUACACAGUGACUGUAAUGCACACGUAUUCCGGGCCAGCGAAUGCCGUAUCCGGAAACCCAGAUACAGGGUCCCUUAGAUCCACAAAUAGGGAGGAACAACAAGUCGUUAGGACUGCUGAUAUAAAAGCGUAUGGGAAACACAAGAACAAGUUCAAGAAAGCAAAAAAGAAAUAUAUCAAGUUUCUGAACACAGGGACCCUUAACAAAAUUUUGCCAAUGAACUCGCAGUCUAAACAAGAGAUGUACAAGGAACUUAAACAAUCAAAUUACCGAAUUCAUGUAAUACCAGCCCAGAUGUUUGAAGAUGCAAGGCGUUAUGGGGAAAUCAACAUAUUUCAACUGGAGUAUACAUAUUUGCAUCCGGCUAGCAGCAGUUACGUUUUUGCAAUCCCUGUUUAUCGAAACGGUCACAUCAACUUAAUUGAUAGGAAUUGCAAUGAUAAUUACAAUUAGCCACCAUACAUAAAACAAGAACAUUUCUCUUAAGUGUUUAUUUAGUAAUUUGUUCAGUAUUAAAGGAUCAGGUUCAGAAAGUAAUAUUACUAACACUGGUCCAUCACUUAUGACAUCGUUCAUUACGUCCAACUGAAGUACUUCGAGAAAAGGAAUGACGUCUAUUGCAAAAUUCGCAUACGUAUUCUAGGAUAACUACAUUCUGUGCGAGCUCACUAUAAAUCAAAUCGAUUGUGCUCCUGAAUAUGCAUGCGAAUCAUAUUGUUCUUUUAAUUAAGUUUGUGUUUUUCUGGUGUAAGAACCCAAUUCGAAUGAUUACAUACAAGUGUUAUUAUAUCGCGUUUCACCAUGUCCUUGUGCACACGGAUAAAACAAUACCAACCACACGUUCUAAGCGUACGAUCUUCAUAAAUGAAUGAUUUUAUCGUAAGCUUGCAAAGAAUGUAGUCAACUGAUCACUUGUAAAAUUUAACAUCAAAACCUUUACUCAUCAAUGAGAUAUUCAAGUUUAACAAGUGUUCCGUUAGAAUAGUCUCCAAGUGUACAUGUUUCCUAUGCGUGCUCACAUAAAUUACACUUUUUCGUUAUCUGAGCUUUGCAUCAGCUUGUGGUCACGUCGGCAUUCUCUGCUGUUACCAAGGAGCUGCUUACCGCCAUUGAAGUCUAAGGGCAACUCUAGCAGCAACCGCCCGAACUUGCUGUUAUUAUUGUCCCGAAACAAACAGCGAUUGAACAUAGUGGACAUGUAUAGGUAUAAACAAACUUAUUCAACAUUAAGUGAGAGUGAAACGCUUGAACUGUUAAUGGCCUAUAUUGUAUCUUGAUACGAAGGAAGGGGAUUCUUUUCAAGACAAAAUUGCGACUACCGAUGGGACCCGGCUGUGUAAUUUCGAUCCUGAAACGAAAGCUCAGUCAGCUCUUUGGAAGUCACCAUUGGUUCAACAGUCCGGAAAGGCCCGCAUGCAAGGAAACUGGAAAAAGAUGUUCAUCAUUUACAGAGAUCGUCAAAGAACGAUCAUUCAGCAUUGAUUCAAAGAAUUAGAUAGUAUGGCAUUUUUGUCAGAUAACACAAUUUGCGAUAAGACGAAAUAAAACACAAUUUGACAAAACUGGUUCAGAAAACCAUAAAUUUAAUUGGGUAUACAGACAUUAAUAGUUUGUUGCGCUUGGUGGUCACUAUGUUUUUAAAUACGAAAACUGCUACUUCAAUAUGUGUUGUUUAAAAUAUAAAAUUGAUCUAAUUUCGAUGGCGACUGCAGAAAUAUCUGUUCAUGUUGAUUAUAUUAAUGUCAAUAAUCCGCAGUUGAUGUACAA